AUUGAACGCUGGCGGCAUGCCUUACACAUGCAAGUCGAACGGCAGCACGGGUGCUUGCCCCUGGUGGCGAGUGGCGAACGGGUGAGUAAUACAUCGGAACAUGUCCUGUAGUGGGGGAUAGCCCGGCGAAAGCCGGAUUAAUACCGCAUACGAUCUACGGAUGAAAGCGGGGGACCUUCGGGCCUCGCGCUAUAGGGUUGGCCGAUGGCUGAUUAGCUAGUUGGUGGGGUAAAGGCCUACCAAGGCGACGAUCAGUAGCUGGUCUGAGAGGACGACCAGCCACACUGGGACUGAGACACGGCCCAGACUCCUACGGGAGGCAGCAGUGGGGAAUUUUGGACAAUGGGCGAAAGCCUGAUCCAGCAAUGCCGCGUGUGUGAAGAAGGCCUUCGGGUUGUAAAGCACUUUUGUCCGGAAAGAAAUCCUUGGCUCUAAUACAGUCGGGGGAUGACGGUACCGGAAGAAUAAGCACCGGCUAACUACGU
rnacentral:rRNA from 1 species